GGCGUUAUGGUGUAACUGGUUAACACGCUGCCCUCUCAAGGCAGAGAGUCCGGGUUCGAGCCCCGGUAACGCUACCA
rnacentral:tRNA from 1 species